UGUGUCUCCAACUUUCAGCCUCAGCCAAAACUCUUCCUUCCCUUUCUUUCUUCUUUUUCUUUUUUCUCUUUCUGUCUGUCUGUCUCUCUGUCUGUCUUUCUCUCUCUCUCUGUCUCUCUCCCUCCCUCCCUCACACACAAAGCCCCCCUUAGCCUGUUGUUCUUCCUCCCAAGAUGCCAUGGCAUCCAGGCAGGUGAGUUGAAGAAGGGCCUACCCAUUGUUUGUUUCUAUGGCAACAGGGCAACGUCUUUGGAGAUGUCAAUGGCAGUACUUAACUGGUCAGCUAAGGCCAUUAUCUUCCAAAGAAACAGUCUGCCUCAAACCUCAUAUACACAGGAUCACAGACUUGGAAGGGACCGUUGACUGACACACCCCCCCAAAAAAAACCCCUAUAACAAUGUAUAAACACUGAUCCCUUUUCAAACCAGCACUGAUGUUUUUCCAUACCCGAUUACAGAAUUUGCUUGGAAGAAAACACAAGCCAAGCUCCUCUUCUCGUCAUGAGAGAGAAAAUGAAUAUCCUUCUUAAACUGAGGUGCCCAGAACUGGACACAGACACACCCUUGGGCUCCAAGAUGGAAGAAUGGUAGGAUACCAAUGUAGGAAAAAUAAUGGGGUGAAAGAAAUUGGUCUGUACUCUUCAGGCAAGAAACUGCCAAACUCUGUGCUUCUCUCAAUUCUUUUAAAAACAUUCUGCCC